rnacentral:rRNA from 1 species
UACGUAGGGGGCAAGCGUUGUUCGGAAUUACUGGGCGUAAAGGGCUCGUAGGCGGCCAACUAAGUCAGACGUGAAAUCCCUCGGCUUAACCGGGGAACUGCGCCUGAUACUGGAUGGCUUGAGUUUGGGAGAGGGAUGCGGAAUUCCAGGUGUAGCGGUGAAAUGCGUAGAUAUCUGGAGGAACACCGGUGGCGAAGGCGGCAUCCUGGACCAACACUGACGCUGAGUGAGCGAAAGCCAGGGGAGCAAACGGG